UACAGCAAGGGAGGGAGAGGAGAUUCACAAACCCUCACCAUUCCUUCCAACUACCAUAACUUUCUCAUCCGGGCUCCGAUCGCCGCACCGUUCGCGGCCACGCGUCGGGCUCGUCGAGCUCUUCAAUUUUAUCUAAACAAAACAGGGUUCACUAGACUUGAUUUCUUGUGGGUAUUGCUCAAGGAUCAGUGGGUAAAGGUAGUGUGUAUGUGAAUGUUGAUGCUUGUUGGAGGCUUGUUGGUGAUCAAGCUUGGUUUGGGCUGUUUGAUUGAGUU